rnacentral:lncRNA from 1 species
GCAAAGUUCACUGAAAUUUUCAUCCGUCCUCACACACUCAUUAGAAAUGUAUUCUGUAUUUAGGGUGGAGCAAAGGCAGGUAUGUCUGUAUGCAUAUGGGUAUUUGUGGGUGUGUUCGGCAGGGAUUCAGCGGGUGUCAGGAGAACUGUAGAAAGUGAUAGAACAGGAGAGAUGAGUGUCGUCGAUGGGAAGACGGAACAAGAAAAACUCUCUUUUGUGAGUGAAACAAAACACCUGGACCUACUUUUUUCCAUGCUACCCUAAUACUCCAGGUAUGUUGAUUUUGUCUGUUACAUUUAAUUGAUGGUCCAGCAGGUUUCUUAUUGACAUUAACCUGUAAAAUUGCACCAUCAGGGUUUGUUUAUUUUUGUCUUUGUUUCUUAAUGUAGAAGGAAGUUCUGAUACUAGACAUUGUUUCCUAUUGCACUCUAACAUUAUACUUUAAUGGUAGGAAUUUGCAAAAAGAUUUUGGUGUCCGAACAUGAAUAUCAAAUACAUUUUUACCCAAUUGCAAGUUUAUUAAGUACAUCUGGGUAAAACGUUUCCAGCUGUAAAUCUUACCUUUAUGAUGGACUUACUGUUUGUUUGGUAAAGCUGUUAUACAGAUGUGAGAUGUUUUUGUUCAAUGGUUAUUGUGGGGAAGUUUUAUGGUUUGUAAGGUGCAAUAAAUAAACUGGCAACUUGGUCAAUAUACGUUUGUGUCAAACAGCAGAGAUGCUAAAACAAUUAGAGUCAAAAUCAAGUAAAGAUGCACACGCAGUUUUUAAUUUUAAUUUCAAAUUUAAAACUAAUGUAUGCAACUCACGCUAACGCUAGCACAAGACCUGGAAAUCAAUCAACUCUGCUCUGUUAUGAUCCUUGACACUCAGCUAUACUCAGCACUUCAUAGUUGACUUCAGAAAACUACAAUAAAUGAGAAAGCUAAAGAAAAAAUUCUAGCAGAAAUUGUUAAAAUUUAAGGAAAAUAAAAGAGCCUCACUUGAAAUCUUUAGAAGCACAUAUCUGUUCUGCUGGCAGCGCUGCUCUGUGAGGAACCCAUCACAAAAGAACAUCUCCACAAAUACAUAUAUUAACCUAUUUCUAUAAAAAAUAUUUUGUAACAACUCUAAAAUUGUCUAAAAACGGUUCAAAAUGUACUAUUUUCCUUUAUGUCACACAACUGUCCCAAGAGCAGCUUUUAAAUGUACCCAACUUAAUCACCAUGAUCCCAAAGGCUGACCAAAUUAAUUUAUAUAACACGAAACAGUCGCCAACUUUGUGACUCAUUUAAUCUGGAUAGAACCUGUCAACCUAAAAAGAAUCAAUAAUUUUCUAUGAUGAAUGUAAUACAAUAUUUAUCAUGGUAUUUUUCUGUUACUGUCUCAACAUUGUCAUAACGGCUCAACCUUUGCUUCCCUAGAACAGCAGGAUAACCGUAUUUCUAAUGUUACGGUGACUAUUAAGGUCAGGAAACUGAGACACAACACACACUUUUUAGUGGACAUUUUGUCUUGAAGGAAGCCCAGUUUUAAUAGUAGUACUGAGCUUGUAUCUAAUCUG